UACGGGGGGCAAGGCGUUGUUCGGAAUUACUGGGCGUAAAGGGCUCGUAGGUGGCCAACUAAGUCAGACGUGAAAUCCCUCAGCUAAGCUGGGAACCUGCGUCUGAAGACUGGUGGCUUGAGUGCAGGAGAGGAACGCGGAAUUCAGGUGUAGCGGUGAAAUGCGUAGAUAUACUGGAGGAACACCGGUGGCGAAGGCGGCGUUCUGAGCUGCUACUGACACUGAGGAACGAAAGCCAGGGAGGACAAACGGG
rnacentral:rRNA from 1 species